CCUACGGGUGGCAGCAGUGGGGAAUAUUGCACAAUGGGCGCAAGCCUGAUGCAGCCAUGCCGCGUGUGUGAAGAAGGCCUUCGGGUUGUAAAGCACUUUCAGCGGGGAGGAAGGCGGUGAGGUUAAUAACCUCAUCGAUUGACGUUACCCGCAGAAGAAGCACCGGCUAACUCCGUGCCAGCAGCCGCGGUAAUACGGAGGGUGCAAGCGUUAAUCGGAAUUACUGGGCGUAAAGCGCACGCAGGCGGUCUGUCAAGUCGGAUGUGAAAUCCCCGGGCUCAACCUGGGAACUGCAUUCGAAACUGGCAGGCUAGAGGCUUGUAGAGGGGGGUAGAAUUCCAGGUGUAGCGGUGAAAUGCGUAGAGAUCUGGAGGAAUACCGGUGGCGAAGGCGGCCCCCUGGACAAAGACUGACGCUCAGGUGCGAAAGCGUGGGGAGCAAACAGGAUUAGAUACCCGUGUAGUC
rnacentral:rRNA from 1 species